GAAAAAUAAUAGUCAGGUUUACAAAAAGAAAGUGAUAUAGAGAGAAAAGACAAGAGUGGCAAUUUAUAGCCCAGUUUUUCUUUAAGAAAGCAGAUGAGUCAGUCAGCAGCAGCUCUAGCCCCGAUACCAUCAUAACCUCUCCCCCCUGUCCCAGUGAAAAAGAUUGCCUGUGACUGUUUCUGUUGGGGAGAGACAUUUUAAUAAGGUAAUAUAACUACUAAAACAAAUAAAUCUUUAAGCAACCUAUUUGCAUGCAGUAUGUGGACUGUUGCAUGUAAAAUUCACUAGCAGUGAAUAUUGUGCUACUAUC